UACGAAGGGGGCUAGCGUUGUUCGGAAUCACUGGGCGUAAAGGGCGCGUAGGCGGCCGAUCAAGUCGGGGGUGAAAGCCUGUGGCUCAACCACAGAAUUGCCUUCGAUACUGUUUGGCUUGAGACCGGAAGAGGUUAGUGGAACUGCGAGUGUAGAGGUGAAAUUCGUAGAUAUUCGCAAGAACACCAGUGGCGAAGGCGGCCAUCUGGGACAACACUGACGCUGAAGCACGAAAGCGUGGGGAGCAAACAGG
rnacentral:rRNA from 1 species